GUCUGUUCCGCUUUCCCGCGGGCUCCCGCCACACAGCUGCAGGAGACCUGAGCGCCUGCGGGCCCGGAGACCUCCAGAUCUCUUGGAAAUCCAGCACCAACCCCAUCUAAUCAGAAGGAGGAAGACGGCGCCGCAGAGCCCUUUGGGAAAUGUAGUUUCAGGACUGACUUCUGGGAAACGGAAUCAGAGGGAGGCGGUGAGCUUUCGCAGCCAAUUACAAGCGAGCUGGGGCGAGUCACGUGACGCGCCUUUGCUAGGAACGCUGAAAGGUAACUUUCAGAAGUUGGGUUUUCUUUGCUGUCCAGAGAACCUAGGUUCAGGAACAGUAUCCCUAUCAUCAAGGUCCCAGAUUUCAGCUAAGCCCUAAGCUCCGUGGGCUGAGUUACAGCAUUGACAGGAAAGAGGCUAAACAAUAAAUGCCAGGAUGCUACUGAGAGCCCUGGUGGGAAUGCAAGUCUUUGGAAAGACUCUCUUUGUGACCUUCCACCUCACUAUUAAGUCUCACGUCUCACGUUUGUUCUUCCCUAAGUGUAUGAGAAUGAAAUGCAAAACAAAGCAAAAUAUUAGAGGAAUAUUCAAGACUGUCAAAUUAGUAAGAAGAUAGA
rnacentral:lncRNA from 1 species